GGGAGGCAGCAGUGAGGGAUAUUGGUCAAUGGGCGUUAGCCUGAACCAGCCAAGUAGCGUGAAGGAUGAGGGCUCUAUGGGUCGUAAACUUCUUUUAUAUAAGAAUAAAGUGCAGUAUGUAUACUGUUUUGUAUGUAUUAUAUGAAUAAGGAUCGGCUAACUCCGUGCCAGCAGCCGCGGUAAUACGGAGGAUCCGAGCGUUAUCCGGAUUUAUUGGGUUUAAAGGGAGCGUAGGUGGACUGGUAAGUCAGUUGUGAAAGUUUGCGGCUCAACCGUAAAAUUGCAGUUGAUACUGUCAGUCUUGAGUACAGUAGAGGUGGGCGGAAUUCGUGGUGUAGCGGUGAAAUGCUUAGAUAUCACGAAGAACUCCGAUUGCGAAGGCAGCUCACUGGACUGCAACUGACACUGAUGCUCGAAAGUGUGGGUAUCAAACAGGAUUAGAUACCCUGGUAGUCCACACAGUAAACGAUGAAUACUCGCUGUUUGCGAUAUACAGUAAGCGGCCAAGCGAAAGCAUUAAGUAUUCCACCUGGGGAGUACGCCGGCAACGGUGAAACUCAAAGGAAUUGACGGGGGCCCGCACAAGCGGAGGAACAUGUGGUUUAAUUCGAUGAUACGCGAGGAACCUUACCCGGGCUUAAAUUGCAGUGGAAUGAUGUGGAAACAUGUCAGUGAGCAAUCACCGCUGUGAAGGUGCUGCAUGGUUGUCGUCAGCUCGUGCCGUGAGGUGUCGGCUUAAGUGCCAUAACGAGCGCAACCCUUAUCUUCAGUUACUAACAGGUCAUGCUGAGGACUCUGGAGAGACUGCCGUCGUAAGAUGUGAGGAAGGUGGGGAUGACGUCAAAUCAGCACGGCCCUUACGUCCGGGGCUACACACGUGUUACAAUGGGGGGUACAGAAGGCAGCUAGCGGGUGACCGUAUGCUAAUCCCAAAAUCCUCUCUCAGUUCGGAUCGAAGUCUGCAACCCGACUUCGUGAAGCUGGAUUCGCUAGUAAUCGCGCAUCAGCCACGGCGCGGUGAAUACGUUCCCGGGCCUUGUACACACCGCCCGUCAAGCCAUGGGAGCCGGGGGUACCAAAGGUACGUAACCGCAAGGAUCGUCCUAGGGUAAAACUCU
rnacentral:rRNA from 1 species